rnacentral:rRNA from 1 species
CGCGCAGGCGGUUCGUCAAGUCCCGUGUGAAAGCCCCCCGGCUCAACUGGGGAACUGCGCGGGAAACUAGCGAGCUUGAGUUCGGGAGAGGGAAGCGGAAUUCCGGGUGUAGCGGUGAAAUGCGCAGAUAUCCGGAGGAACACCAGUGGCGAAGGCGGCUUCCUGGACCGACACUGACGCUGAGGCGCGAAAGCCAGGGGAGCGAAC